GUGGCGCACGGGUGAGUAACACGUGAAUGAUCUACCUCCGAGUGGGGAAUAACCUAGAGAAAUCUGGGCUAAUACCGCAUAACACUUACGAGUCAAAGCAGCAAUGCGCUUGGAGAGGAGUUCGCGGCCGAUUAGUUAGUUGGCGGGGUAAUGGCCCACCAAGACGAUGAUCGGUAUCCGGCCUGAGAGGGCGCACGGACACACUGGAACUGAAACACGGUCCAGACUCCUACGGGAGGCAGCAGUGGGGAAUUUUGCGCAAUGGGGGAAACCCUGACGCAGCAACGCCGCGUGGAGGAUGGAAUCCCUUGGGAUGUAAACUCCUUUCGAUCGGGACGAUUAUGACGGUACCGGAAGAAGAAGCCCCGGCUAACUUCGUGCCAGCAGCCGCGGUAAUACGAGGGGGGCAAGCGUUGUUCGGAAUUAUUGGGCGUAUAGGGCGCGUAGGCGGUUUGACAAGUCUGAUGUGAAAUCCUCUGGGCUCAACUCA
rnacentral:rRNA from 1 species